rnacentral:rRNA from 1 species
UACGAAGGGGGCUAGCGUUGCCCGGAUUCACUGGGCGUAAAGGGCGCGUAGGCGGCCCGCUGAGUCCGGCGCUAAAGACCGAGGCCCAACCUCGGGGGUGCGCUGGGUACUGGCGGGCUGGGCGGUCGGAGGGGGUGGCGGAAUGGCCGGAGUAGCGGUGAAAUGCGCAGAUACCGGUCGGAACGCCGAUAGCGGAAGCAGCCACCUGGACGACGCGCGACGCUGAGGCGCGAAAGCGUGGGGAGCAAACCGG